rnacentral:rRNA from 1 species
UACGUAGGCAGCAAGCGUUGUUCGGAGUUACUGGGCGUAAAGGGUGUGUAGGCGGUCUUCUAAGUUUGGUGUGAAAUCUCCCGGCUCAACUGGGAGGGUGCGCCGAAACUGGGAGGCUAGAGUGCGGGAUGGGAGAGUGGAAUUCCUGGUGUAGCGGUGAAAUGCGUAGAUAUCAGGAGGAACACCUGUGGUGUAGACGGCUCUCUGGACCGCAACUGACGCUGAGACACGAAAGCGUGGGUAGCAAACAGG